rnacentral:rRNA from 1 species
CCUACGGGAGGCAGCAGUGGGGAAUAUUGGACAAUGGGGGGAACCCUGAUCCAGCCAUGCCGCGUGUGUGAAGAAGGCCCUCGGGUUGUAAAGCACUUUCAGUGAGGAAGAACGCCUGGUGGUUAAUACCCAUCAGGAAAGACAUCACUCACAGAAGAAGCACCGGCUAACUCCGUGCCAGCAGCCGCGGUAAUACGGAGGGUGCGAGCGUUAAUCGGAAUUACUGGGCGUAAAGCGCGCGUAGGUGGCUUGAUAAGCCGGUUGUGAAAGCCCCGGGCUCAACCUGGGAACGGCAUCCGGAACUGGCAAGCUAGAGUGCAGGAGAGGAAGGGAACAUUCGCGGUGGAGCGGUGCACUGCGGCGAGAUCGGGCGGAACACCAGUGGCGAAGGGGUCCUUAUGGACUGCAACUGACACUGAGGUGCGAAAGCGUGGGUAGCCAACAGGAUUAGAUAGACUGGGAGUA